ensembl:lncRNA
CCUAACCUCAAGCACCACGUUUAUGUUGGGAUCAGAACAAUUCCAGAUGAAUGGCUACUGCUGAAGUAUCCAGGCUGGUUUGCUUAAGGUGCACCAUUACCAGAGCUUAAGUGUACUGUGGACAUAUUCUUCCACACUGGAAGAAAGGAAGUUCCCAGGAAAGCAGUGGAGUCCUUAGGGAGGUGGUGGAGUCACUGUCCCUGGAGGUGUUCAAGAAACAUGUGGAUGUGUCACUGAGGGACGUGGUCAGUGGGCACAGUCUUUUCCAAUCUUAAUGAUUCUGUGAUUCUACUUCAGACAACCUCUUACAGUCUGGACUGAUUCUCCGAGCACCAGCAGGUGUUCCAUAUGUGAGAGCAGAAAUUACAUCUUGUACUGCUGUUUUCUCCCUGCAGACACGUUGCCUUUGGGGAAGGGGAUGGUGUGAGCAGAGCUGUGUUCAGCCACUGGACAUGUGCGUGACUCAUCACUGUUUUUAUCUUUGUACCUCCUAGACUGAGGCCUGGCUGUCCUGCCAUUGCAUCCCUCCUGCUGUCUCGCCCCAGCUAAGACAGUUUCUCUUUCCCCUUCUGCCAAGCAGUGGGACUUGGUUAUGCUCCUGUAAAAAUAAGAAUUGCCUGGAGGUGCGAUACCUCCAUGCUGCCCAGGAAUCACAGGGACACUGCAUCUCAGCUUCCGUCUUGAGAACUUCAUGUCUCUGAUUCAGAAUAAUAGCUGAAUAAACACUGCUCUGUUUGGGAUUUCUCACCCACGCCCCCUGCCUUGGCCUGAAGCAGACCCAUUUCCUGAGUUCCUUCUCAGGGUUUCACAGGGUCUCGAGGGAACACCUGUGUGAGUUGCAGCGCAGACUUCAUUUGCUCUGACCACUGUCUUGCUCUACAGGCACCACGGUCCUGAGCAAAAGGAGGAUAAUUAUAUAGCUGCAAAUGGCCAUGUCUCGCUUUCAAGAAGGGUAAUUAAACAUCUGAAGGCCACAGACUGGGAUUAAUGACAAGAGGGCCCAAACAGAAGAUGUGGGGAUGGUGGCACCAGCUAGAUGAAAUGCUGAUCCUCUGGCUGCUAAGGAAGCACAGAAAGCUGUCUUGGUGCUGUGCUGAUGUUUCUGAAACUUGAGAGAGAGGUUUUGAGAUGCUGAGAUUUUGAAAUUAUAUUAAGUGCUGGAUGUUAAGGGGUAAUUACAGAAAAAGAAAAACAAGCAAAAUGAACAGUGUUUUUUCCCCUCCUCCACCAAGUGAAAUGGUAAUGGAAUAUGGUCUCGUGUAGUAUAAUGCUUUAAGUACUGCGUGUCCCAGUUUCACAAUGCUCAGUACAAUGUGUACAAAAAACAAAUGUGAGUAUAUUGUGGUUAGGCUGUUUUAUCAGCUAUCUGCUUUGCUGAAUGUAUAUUUGGGUACGUGUGUUAUUUUU